GGCAGAUCUGGGCCUAGUCUGCAUAUACCGAGUAGAAUAGAGAGGGGAGAGGGCUAGGGUUCAGAGCACGACGAGCCAUAACUUCAACAAGCAGCGGGCGGGUCUCGGGCGGCGCGCGGGCGCUUGGUGGACGACGCUCAAGCGGAGGCGGGCAGCGCUUGGGAGUCAGGCGUGCGACCUUGCGGCUGUGCUCAGGCGGGGCGUUGCGUGAAGCGCUAGGGAGUCGGGUGUGCGACGGGCGGCGCUCGUUCCUCAGGCAUGUGCGGACGACGCUCAGACGCAUGGCUGUGUCGACCACUUGCAGACGACGCCGACACAGAUCCAGGUCCAGGUCCAGGUUAAGUAUUGUUUUUUGGUGUGUGGACGUGAUUCUUCUAGUGAGAUAUGUUCUGAAGCGGCAAGGUAAACCCUCUUAGUCUACUUGUUUAACUUUUAAAAUAUACCCAUCGGUUUGAAUGAUGCAAAACUACAAUAAUCUUCAUGUACUUGAUUGACUAAUGAGUUGGAUAUGAUUCGUAUUCUAUUUCUUAAAAAAGUAAGGCAGAAGAUAGCUAGAUUCAUGAUUUGGCAAAUACAACCUCAAAUUAACUUGCCUAUUCAUCGAUUAUGUUCAGGAAAUAAUGUAUCAAUUAAUUGAAGGAAGUAAUAGUAGUGGCUCAUCUAGAACUCAUUCGAUUCCUAGUUCUAACUAUGACCACUAACUUUUGCCUUGCUAGCUGGCUAUGUACAAGCCUGCAACACAUUCUUAUGAUACCAUCAUGUCAUUAAAUGUCAAGGGCUGAGUAUCCCCGGACAGCAGGGCCUCGACUACGCAGUUCGUAGUCGUGACCCAUCUUCUCCGGCGAGAUUUUGCCCCUCAGCCACAGGUUUUGUUGGUGAGUGGAGAGGAGAGAUUAGAGAGAAUAAACUUUGCUUAAUCCUUCCAGCCGGCUGGUUACACAUAUAUAUAUGGCCGAUCGGCCCUAAUAAACUAGAGAUAAUUACUCCUUGAUCCUAGGGAUAGCUAUCUAAUCAUUCCUAACAACCAGCCCCUCCCCCCUAAAUCUUCUCCUUAAUUCUAGGAACUUGAAACAAAAAGUAACCAUGUUCUAUCUGUAACAAACCAGUGCGUGCGCGCCUAACCGCCCACGCGUAUCGCACGCUCUUUUGCCCGGCGCACGUCGUUGGCGCGCCUGCGCCUGGUGUAGUUCAUGGAGCAUGGUUACCACCUUGGUUUGCGGCACAAUAUGCUCAUUACGCGG
rnacentral:lncRNA from 1 species